rnacentral:rRNA from 1 species
CGGCCGCAAGGUUAAAACUCAAAUGAAUUGACGGGGGCCCGCACAAGCGGUGGAGCAUGUGGUUUAAUUCGAUGCAACGCGAAGAACCUUACCAAGUCUUGACAUCCUGCGAAUUUUCUAGAGAUAGAUUAGUGCCCUCGGGAGCGCAGUGACAGGUGCUGCAUGGCUGUCGUCAGCUCGUGUUGUGAAAUGUUGGGUUAAGUCCCGUAACGAGCGCAACCCUUGUCCUUAGUUGCUAGCAGGUUAAGCUGAGAACUCUAAGGAGACUGCCGGUGACAAACCGGAGGAAGGUGGGGACGACGUCAAGUCAUCAUGGCCCUUACGACUUGGGCUACACACGUGCUACAAUGGCCAGUACAAAGGGUUGCCAAGCCGCGAGGUGGAGCUAAUCUCAUAAAACUGGUCGUAGUCCGGAUUGGAGUCUGCAACUCGACUCCAUGAAGUCGGAAUCGCUAGUAAUCGUGAAUCAGAAUGUCACGGUGAAUACGUUCCCGGGCCUUGUACACACCGCCCGUCACACCAUGGGAGUGGGUUGCUCCAGAAGUGGUUAGUCUAACCUUCGGGGGGACGGUCACCACGGAGUGAUUCAUGACUGGGGUG